ensembl:lncRNA
UUGCUUAGUUCACCGUCGGGGCGAUGAUGCAGAAGCUAAGGGUGGAUUGUGAUAGGAUGAAUGAGGUAAGUGGCUGUGAUUGACACAUGUGAGCAACAAUCAGCAGUGACUGCUGAGUAUUUCAGUACGUGUUUGGUUUAGCCUGGGAUGCGUCACGUCCGGAUCCUCCCCUUUUUGUGUUGACUGUGGCUUCAGCCUGUCUGUUUUAUUAGUGGUUUCAUCUGUUGCUGUGGACUGUAUGAUUGCCCUUUUUAGGUAAGCGAAAGCUGUUUUAUGGUUAACGGUCUUGCUGAGGGGUGGGUGGUUUUGAUUAAUGUGCAGUCCCUGUACUUCAGCUUUGCAGCGGGGUAUUUGAACGCUGCGUGUCCAGCCUGCGAACUGAUAGUAAGCUCAUCUACUCUCGUUGUGCUUAUUUGGAUUCUCCCUCUUUUGUCCUGGUGAUUAUCGUCGCGACUCUUUUGCUCUCUGCUACUGUUGUACACUUCACAAACACUUCCAUUACCACUACCUUGGAAGACUGCUGCUGUCGUUAUGGUUGUUCAUGUGGAUUGUUAAUUCUCUUCAGAUAACUCGGGUUGGAUGAGUCUUCAGCUCACGUGACCUUAUUUUCUUAUGGACUGCGGCCUCGUCUGAGCCCCUUUUCUCCUUUCGUGAACUGUGUGGGCUUGUGCUUGAAUUCUUGUGUAUUGUUGAGCCCUAACUGUAGUGGCUUUUACCCACAUUGUUAUGAUUGAGUUGUAAUUCUAUAUGACUGGUUUUUGUAUGUAUUUUCGUUUGAGGUUUAUUUAUUUUGUUUUUGAUUUCCUUUCAGGAGCUGGGGUCCCACUGGUGGAGGAUCUCAAACUGAUUUUGUGUAAUGUUUUGUUUAUUUCUGGUGAAAAUUUGUUUUGUUUCAAUUAAUUUAGUAUUAUUUGAUUAUUUUCUUUAAUGUGAAUUUGUUACAAUUUUGUUUUGUGUAUUUGUUUUUCAUGAUCAUUGGAGAGAGUUGCUGCCAGAGAAUGCACCCCAUGACCAGACCAUUUUAAAUGCCUUUUCUAUUUUUAAAUUCAGUGUUUCAAUAAACUUUUUGUAUUUUUGAUAUCCA